AACGAACGCUGGCGGCGUGGAUAAGACAUGCAAGUCGAACGGAAACUAUGAAUAGCUUGCUAAUUGUAGUUUUAGUGGCGGACGAGUGAGUAACACGUGAGUAACUUGCCCUAAAGUGGGGGAUAGCCUUUGGAAACGAAGAGUAAUACCGCAUGUGACCUCCGGGUCAAAGAUAGCUUCGGCUGUCGCUUUAGGAUAGGCUCGCGGCCUAUUAGUUAGUUGGUGAGGUAACGGCUCACCAAGACAAUGACGGGUACCUGUUCUGAGAGGAAGAUCAGGCACGCUGGAACUGAGACACGGUCCAGACACCUACGGGUGGCAGCAGUCGAGAAUCAUUCACAAUGGGGGAAACCCUGAUGGUGCAACGCCGCGUGGAGGAUGAAGGCCCUAGGGUCGUAAACUCCUGUCAUCAAGGAGUAAGACUUAUUAGUUAAUAGCUAGUAAGUUUGAUAGUACUUGAAGAGGAAGGGACGGCUAACUUCG
rnacentral:rRNA from 1 species